GAUGAACGCUGGCGGCGUGCCUAAUACAUGCAAGUCGAGCGAACAGACGAGGAGCUUGCUCCUCUGACGUUAGCGGCGGACGGGUGAGUAACACGUGGAUAACCUACCUAUAAGACUGGGAUAACUUCGGGAAACCGGAGCUAAUACCGGAUAAUAUAUUGAACCGCAUGGUUCAAUAGUGAAAGACGGUUUUGCUGUCACUUAUAGAUGGAUCCGCGCCGCAUUAGCUAGUUGGUAAGGUAACGGCUUACCAAGGCGACGAUGCGUAGCCGACCUGAGAGGGUGAUCGGUCACACUGGAACUGAGACACGGUCCAGACUCCUACGGGAGGCAGCAGUAGGGAAUCUUCCGCAGUGGGCGAAAGCCUGACGGAGCAACGCCGCGUGAGUGAUGAAGGUCUUCGGAUCGUAAAACUCUGUUAUUAGGGAAGAACAAAUGUGUAAGUAACUAUGCACGUCUUGACGGUACCUAAUCAGAAAGCCACGGCUAACUACGU
rnacentral:rRNA from 1 species